AUGAACGCUAGCGACAGGCCUAACACAUGCAAGUCGAGGGCAGCACAAGGAGCAAUCUGAGGUGGCGACCGGCGCACGGGUGAGUAACACGUAUGCAACCUGCCUGUAAGCGGGGAAUAACCCGUUGAAAGACGGACUAAUACCGCAUAAUACUAAAUUACUGCAUGGUAAUUUAUUUAAACAUUUAUGGCUUACAGAUGGGCAUGCGCAUGAUUAGCUAGUUGGAGAGGUAACGGCUCCCCAAGGCAACGAUCAUUAGGGGUUCUGAGAGGAAGGUCCCCCACACUGGUACUGAGACACGGACCAGACUCCUACGGGAGGCAGCAGUGAGGAAUAUUGGUCAAUGGACGAGAGUCUGAACCAGCCAAGUCGCGUGCAGGAAGAAUGUCCCUAUGGAUUGUAAACUGCUUUUGCAGGGGAAUAAAGUGCAUCACGUGUGAUGUUUUGUAUGUACUCUGCGAAUAAGGAUCGGCUAACUCCGUGCCAGCCGCUGC
rnacentral:rRNA from 1 species